UCCCUGGUGGUCUAGUGGUUAGGAUUCGGUGCUCUCAGCGCCGUGGCCUGGGUUCAAAUCCCAGUCAGGGAG